AUUGAACGCUGGCGGCAUGCCUUACACAUGCAAGUCGAACGGCAGCACGGGUGCUUGCACCUGGUGGCGAGUGGCGAACGGGGGAGUAAUAUAUCGGAACGUACCUUAUUGUGGGGGAUAACGCAGCGAAAGCUGUGCUAAUACCGCAUAAUCCCUAAGGGGGAAAGCGGGGGACCGUAAGGCCUCGCGACAUUAGAGCGGCCGAUACCUGAUGAGCUAGUUGGUGAGGUAAAGGCUCACCAAGGCAACGAUCAGUAGCUGGUCUGAGAGGACGAUCAGCCACACUGGGACUGAGACACGGCCCAGACUCCUACGGGAGGCAGCAGUGGGGAAUUUUGGACAAUGGGGGCAACCCUGAUCCAGCAAUGCCGCGUGAGUGAAGAAGGCCUUCGGGUUGUAAAGCUCUUUUGUCAGGGAAGAAACAGCAGCUCUAACACAGUUUGCGAAUGACGGUACCUGAAGAAUAAGCACCGGCUAACUACGUGCCAGCCGCCGCCGUAA
rnacentral:rRNA from 1 species